rnacentral:rRNA from 1 species
UACGUAGGGUGCAAGCGUUGUCCGGAUUUAUUGGGCGUAAAGAGCCCGCAGGCGGCUUGGCAAGUUUGAGGUGAAAUCUCCCGGCUUAACUGGGAGGGGGCCUCGAAAACUGCCAGGCUUGAGGCAUGGAGAGGGAUGCGGAAUUCCCGGUGUAGUGGUGAAAUGCGUAGAUAUCGGGAGGAACACCAGUGGCGAAGGCGGCAACCUGGCCAUGUCCUGACGCUCAGGGGCGAAAGCGUGGGGAGCAAACCGG